UACUGGCCGGGGGAGUAGCGGGUCCUUGUACCUGAAAUCCGCUGUAGCAGGGGUGAUGUCCGUUUCUGAGGGCGGCGCUUGGUUUGUCUGCGCCGUAUUUGCCUGUGAUGAAGGAUGGGUCUUACGCGAUUCGGUACCGUGAAACAUGUCAGGUGGGGAACCAAGCAGCAUUAAGCGGAGCAUCGGAGGUGCCGUAAGGUUGCCUUUCCGGAGCAGACGAUGCGGUU
rnacentral:SRP_RNA from 1 species